UACGUAGGUGGCAAGCGUUGUCCGGAUUUAUUGGGUGUAAAGGGCGUGUAGGCGGGAGCGCAAGUCAGAUGUGAAAACUCAGGGCUCAACCCUGAGCCUGCAUUUGAAACUGUGUUUCUUGAGUGCUGGAGAGGCAAUCGGAAUUCCGUGUGUAGCGGUGAAAUGCGUAGGUAUACGGAGGAACACCAGUGGCGAAGGCGGAUUGCUGGACAGUAACUGACGCUGAGGCGCGAAAGCGUGGGGAGCAAACAGG
rnacentral:rRNA from 1 species